rnacentral:lncRNA from 1 species
UCGUACUCUUUUGUUCGCGCACUCUCUCUCAAACUCUUCCCCCCUCUCUCUCUCAAGGCAACCGACGCAUCUGAUAAGGGUCUGAUCGACGUAAAGCUCUGGCCGACGCAAACGGAAAGGGACUGACCGACGCAAACGGAAAGUGAAGGUACUUCACUUUAUUAUUUUUGUAAUUUCUGUUUAUACCAAAUGAAAUCUAGGAUUUAUUAGGGGGUUUUGAUUUAAGAUUACAUUAAAUUGAUAGCACCAACUGUGGAAUUUCAUAGUCGAAAUCUAGGGUUUAUUCGGCACUUCUAGAAUUUGAUUUUUGUUCGAGUGCUCUGUUAUAGUAUAUAGAUGUUCUACCUUUUUUAGCUUACUGCAGUGUAUAUAGAAGUUUUAUUAUUUGUAUAUUUUACAAGAUUACUCCCUCUUUUCAAAAAAAAAAAUGGUCUUUUAGUCCAUUCCAAACUUAGUUUUAAAUUUUCAGUUCAAAAGAAUGAAUGAUAUAUAGGAGUUCCUAAUUUGCUGUAAAAUAAACAGUAUAGUAAACAUCAAUGGUAUUCUGGGAUCUAAGUUGUGCACUUGUGAUGUUUGAUAAAUUGUCUCAAAGAUGUUCAAGUGUUUUAAAACUAAUUAUUACUCAAUAUUUGGAAUUAGGUGACAUUUAUAUAUGUACUAUGAUGUAAACCAAGUGGAUUGGGUGAAUCAAAAUGAGCUUAAAAGCAAAACAUCGAAUGCUUAAGAAAACACACAACAAACUUGAAAGAUUAUUGCUAACAAUACUAGAUUAUUAAUAGUCACAUUUAAACACAUGAGUUCUAAACUUCUGAUUGAUUGAUACCUCUAAUUUUUUAGAGAGAAAAAUAAGUGCUUGUUGCUGCCUGUGUGUCACAUAUUGUCAGAAUGAGAUUUCAUUCCCUCAAUUCCACUAAACAUCAAAGAGGAGAAGUUAUAUUGUUAAUAUUUAUUAAGAUUAUUAUUAAUAGUUCCUUAUUGAUAAGUUAGAUUACUUGUAUUAUUAUUAUGAGAAUGUACCAAAACAGUUCGGAAUUCGGAUAUUAUAUAUAAUAUACAGAUGACAACUUGAAAAUGCGGUUGACACAACUAUUUGGUUACAAACUUCAGCGGUUGUGCAGUUCAAGCGGUUGUGUAACAGAACUUGUAUUUGGUCUACUCCAAAGUCCAGUUCUUUAAUUAUGGCAGGCUUCUUCCCAGUCUCUACCUUUUUUGGUUUUAGCUGGUGCGCACCAGUGUUGGUUGAGUUGUGGCUGUUGCUCCUACCUAUUGGAAUAUCAUGAUUAUGUUUGCCUUCAUAUGAAGUUAUGACAGCUUUAGGGUCUUUUGAAGAGCUCUCAACAUGUUUCCUGACAUUGCAUCCUGGGUAUGUGCAUUUGUAAUAACUCCUGCAGAUAGAAGUCAAGUGCAUCAGAGAUGAGCCUUGUGCAAAGUAAACAAGACUCAUACCAAUUUUUGUUACCUUGGUAAUCAACAAGGUUUCUCAUAUCAUAUAAGCCCAUACCAGUA